rnacentral:tRNA from 1 species
GCGACCGUCAUAUAGUGGCUAUUACCUCAGCUUCCCAAGCUGAAGAUGCGGGUUCGAUUCCCGUCGGUCGCU